GCUGGGUGUGGUGGUGUGCACCUGUAAUCCCAGCUACUCAGGAGGCUGAGGCAGGAGGAUCACUUGAACCCAAGAGGCGGAGGCUGUAGUGAGCUGAGAUGGCGCCACUGCACUCCAGCCUGGGUGACAGAGUGAGACUCUGUCUCAA
ensembl:misc_RNA Metazoa_SRP Metazoan signal recognition particle RNA